rnacentral:rRNA from 2 species
UUUGGUGACGAUAGCGAAGAGGUCACACCCGUUCCCAUUCCGAACACGGCAGUUAAGCUCUUCAGCGCCGAUGGUAGUUGGG